rnacentral:rRNA from 1 species
AUUGAACGCUGGCGGCAGGCCUAACACAUGCAAGUCGAACGAGUGGCGGACGGGUGAGUAAUGUCUGGGAAACUGACCGAUGGAGGGGGAUAACUACUGGAAACGGUAGCUAAUACCGCAUACCAUCGGAUGUGCCCAGAUGGGAUUAGCUGGUAGGGGAGGUAACGGCUCACCUAGGCGACGCUCCCUAGCUGGGCUGAGAGGAUGACCAGCCACACUGGAACGGAGACACGGUCCAGACGCCGACGGGAGGAAGCAGGUGGGAAGAUGGCACAAGGGGCGCAAGCCUGAUGCAGCCAUGCGGGGUGUAUGAAGAAGGCCUUCGGGUUGUAAAGUACUGUCAGCGGGGAGGCGUUACCCGCAGCAGAAGCACCGGCUAACUCCGUGCCAGCAGCCGCGGUAAUAC